UACAGAGGGUGCGAGCGUUGUCCGGAAUCACUGGGCGUAAAGGGCGCGUAGGCGGCUUCUUAAGCGUGUGGUGAAAGCGCGGGGCUCAACCCCGCGUCGGCCAUGCGGACUGGGAGGCUGGAGCACGUCAGAGGCAGGCGGAAUUCCGGGUGUAGCGGUGGAAUGCGUAGAGAUCCGGAAGAACACCGGUGGCGAAGGCGGCCUGCUGGGACGUGGCUGACGCUGAGGCGCGAAAGCUAGGGGAGCAAACAGG
rnacentral:rRNA from 1 species